rnacentral:rRNA from 1 species
UCCUACGGGAGGCAGCAGUAGGGAAUCUUCGGCAAUGGGGGCAACCCUGACCGAGCAACGCCGCGUGAGUGAAGAAGGUUUUCGGAUCGUAAAGCUCUGUUGUAAGAGAAGAACGUGUGUGAGAGUGGAAAGUUCACACAGUGACGGUAACUUACCAGAAAGGGACGGCUAACUACGUGCCAGCAGCCGCGGUAAUA